AGUGAACGCUGGCGGUAGGCCUAACACAUGCAAGUCGAACGGCAGCACAGUAAGAGCUUGCUCUUACGGGUGGCGAGUGGCGGACGGGUGAGGAAUACAUCGGAAUCUACUUUUUCGUGGGGGAUAACGUAGGGAAACUUACGCUAAUACCGCAUACGACCUACGGGUGAAAGCAGGGGAUCUUCGGACCUUGCGCGAUUGAAUGAGCCGAUGUCGGAUUAGCUAGUUGGCGGGGUAAAGGCCCACCAAGGCGACGAUCCGUAGCUGGUCUGAGAGGAGGAUCAGCGACACUGGAACGGAGACACGGUCCAGACUCCUACGGGAGGCGGCAGUGGGGAAUAUUGGACAAUGGGCGCAAGCCUGAUCCAGCCAUACCGCGUGGGUGAAGAAGGCCUUCGGGUUGUAAAGCCCUUUUGUUGGGAAAGAAAAGCAGCAGGUUAAUACCCCGCUGUUCUGACGGUACCCAAAGAAUAAGCACCGGCUAACUUCGUG
rnacentral:rRNA from 1 species